rnacentral:rRNA from 1 species
UGAGGAAUAUUGGUCAAUGGACGCAAGUCUGAACCAGCCAAGUAGCGUGCAGGAUGACGGCCCUCCGGGUUGUAAACUGCUUUUAGUUGGGAAUAAAAAGAGGGACGUGUCCCUCAUUGUAUGUACCUUCAGAAAAAGGACCGGCUAAUUCCGUGCCAGCAGCCGCGGUAAUACGGAAGGUCCAGGCGUUAUCCGGAGUUAUUGGGUUUAAAGGGAGCGUAGGCGGAUUAUUAAGUCAGUGGUGAAAGACGGUGGCUCAACCAUCGUUAGCCAUUGAAACUGGUAGUCUUGAGUGCAGACAGGGAUGCUGGAACUCGUGGUGUAGCGGUGAAAUGCUUAGAUAUCACGAUGAACUCCGAUCGCGAAGGCAGGUGUCCGGGCUGCAACUGACGCUGAGGCUCGAAAGUGUGGGUAUCAAACAGG